rnacentral:rRNA from 1 species
AUUGAACGCUGGCGGCAGGCCUAACACAUGCAAGUCGAGCGGAGCGGCGGACGGGUGAGUAAUGUAUAGGAACGUGCCUGGUAGCGGGGGAUAACUAACGGAAGGGGGCGCUAAUACCGCAUACUAUCAGAUCAGCCUAUGUCGGAUUAGCUAGUUGGUGGGGUAAAGGCCCACCAAGGCGACGAUCCGUACCUGGUUUGAGAGGAGGAACAGCCACACUGGAACUGAGACACGGUCCAGACUCCUACGGGAGGCAGCAGUGGGGAAUAUUGGACAAUGGGCGAAAGCCUGAUCCAGCCAUGCCGCGUGUGUGAAGAAGGCCUUCGGGUUGUAAAGCACUUUAAGCGGGAAGGCGUUACCUGCAGAAUAAGCACCGGCUAACUACGUGCCAGCAGCCGCGGUAAUAC